rnacentral:rRNA from 1 species
UACGAAGGGUGCAAGCGUUACUCGGAAUUACUGGGCGUAAAGCGUGCGUAGGUGGUUCGUUAAGUCUGAUGUGAAAGCCCUGGGCUCAACCUGGGAAUGGCAUUGGAUACUGGCGACCUAGAGUGCGGUAGGGGGGUGUGGAAUUCCCGGUGUAGCAGUGAAAUGCGUAGAUAUCGGGAGGAACAUCUGUGGCGAAGGCGACACCCUGGACCAGCACUGACACUGAGGCACGAAAGCGUGGGGAGCAAACAGG